UAGCUCCAUUUUUGCGAGGGGUCAUUUUCAAAAUCAUUUGCGUAACGUAAAUAUGGCGGACGUGACGUCAUCAGCCGCCUUCAUCCGGGAACCGAGACCCUGGACCUUCCCUCCUCCCACUGCCCUUCCAUCAGUGUUUAGUGUUAUUUCCUAUAUUUUCCAGCUGUUUUCAUGCAUAGAGAAGAAUAUAAAGAGAAGAAAGAAGGAGAAAUGAAGAAGAAGGAGGAGGAAAAAGAAGAAGGAAAGGAAGGAGGAAGAGGAGAAGGAAAAGAAGAAAUAUUAAGAAGACAAUAUUUUCACUGAAUUUCCAGCGUUUUAAAGGGCCUAAUGAUGAUGAUUCCUGCUUUCAUCCUCAUCGGGGCUAACGAGACCAACCUGGGGCUGUACUCUGGACUGACGCUGUAUGCCAUAGACUGAAGAUGCCAGCAGUCUGAGUGGCGAAACUUAGUGCAAAAUAAAGUUAUGGUACUGAGUACGUCUUGUUCAUAACCCAAGUAUUUCAAGAAACUUCAUCAAUGCUCCAUCACUCCCUUUCAGUUACCUUUUAUAAUCUACAGGGAAUAAUUGCUCCCUUUACCCACUUAACCCAGUGAUAAUUAAGUGCAAAAUAAAGUUAUGGUACUGAGUACGUCUUGUUCAUAACCCAAGUAUUUCAAGAAACUUCAUCAAUGCUCCAUCACUCCCUUUCAGUUACCUUUUAUAAUCUACAGGGAAUAAUUGCUCCCUUUACCCACUUAACCCAGUGAUAAUUAAGUGUUUACUAUCUGAAAUCUCAACACUCCUCCAUGUCACCCUGUACCUCUUUCAACAAAACCACUCAAAUGUAUUAAAAAUUCACAGAAAUUUUCACAUUUAUUAGCUACAACAGACCAAAAAGGUUACAAUAAAAUUGUCCCCUUUGAGAAAAGGAAAUGAUUUUAUAUUAGCUAAAAUGUCCAUGUUAAAUACAAAAUGGGUCAAGUAUCCUUUAUCUCAGGACUAAUAAUGUGUCUGCCAGGUACUGGUGGGGGAAUUGAAAGCUAUUCCACAAAUUAUGACAGCAAUGUUGUCAAUGGUUGGUUUUGAUUGGUCAAACUUCACACAGACCAACAGGAUUACCUUGUUAUUACUUUCAAAUUAUAUAUGAAGGUUACUUGAUGAAAGAAUCGAUUCCAUUCUACCCAAGAAGAUGAGGCCCUAGGAAUGUAAAGGUUGCUGACUGGCCUGCUUGGGGGACCUGCAGACGCAGUACAGUUGCACGAAGGAUUUCUGACAUCUAAGUCUACAGGGAUCUCAGUACAAUCUGAACAUUCUCUUAGGUAGAUGCUGGCUUCCAGCAAUAUAUGUGGGCACCUACAAUAAUUUGAUGAGCACAUUUUCUUUCUUAGAGGGUAUGUAUAUAUGUUUGUUGAUAUAUAGCACCCUAAUUUCUUUCACAAUGAUAUAUUAAAUAAUUUUUAGUUAACACUAAAAUUUAUCCACUAUAUAGGUACUAAAUCUUCUGCCUAAACUUCCACAUUACUAAUCUCUUCUCAGGGAAGAGUGCCCUGUGUUUAUGACAACUGAAUAAUACAGCUUUACCUUUUAUAUGGAGUUUUGUGGCAGAAUGUGGAUGACUUGUGCAUUUAUCAUCAAAAGUGGCACCUUAAUAAAAUUUGGCAACUUUACUGAUUUGGUCAUAAAUUUUUACAAUACUUAAAAGUACUUAGUAGGGAGGAACCUGUGUAAAAAUAAAUAAGUCAACUUGUACUAUGUGGUCAGAUCAUCCACUGCAAAGGCACAUCACCUAUAAUUUCACAUUUUGGAAUGCAACAGUGGCAGCAGACUAGUGUUGCCAAUAACAACCACUUGUUACCAAAGACAAGAUACUGACAAGCUACAACCCUAAAUCCCUCAAGGAUGAUGAAUGGCAAUAUUGCUGUACUGUACAUGCUUGCAGUGUCUGUCCUUGAUUUAUCCAUCACUCAUAAUUCUUCAACUUGAUAAUUACAAACAAGAUACCACCAAUAACAUAAUACCCAAUUUCCCUGGAAAUGAAGAAGUAUUUUGGAGGAUAAAGCAAGUAUUAUAAAUUACAAGGAGAAAAAUAUGACCUGCACGAAAUUUAAAUUGAAAUAACCAAGUCCAAAUGAUCCCUGAAGGCCGCAUGUCCCUCACUUCCAUGGCUGCCUCAGUCCUUGUUCUUGCGGCCCAUAUGAAGCUGAGGGAAGGAGGUCUUGUUGGGCUGCGGGUUGAGACGGGAGGCAAGGUUCAUGAACGGCUCCAGCAGCAGGUUGCGGUCCACUGUGUUUACCUGCCACACCCUCAGCCGCUCCCCCGCUGCCCACCGCUCAGCUGUUGCUUCAUCCACCCCGCCGCUGCUGCCUGCCAGGUCACUCUUGUUGCCCAGGAUGAUGAUGGGGACCUGCAGGGGUGGUUUGCUUCAGGGCUCAUAAGGAUCAUUAAAUCACUGUGGCCCUAACAACAAAAGAGGUCUGCUUCAUUCUUUUGGUUCAUCUCAAUGGAACGUGGAGCAUUACAGGUAAGCCAGAGAGGGACUGGUGAGCAUUAUAGGUAAGCCACAUUAAAAUGAAUUCACAGAGACAUCAGCAACCCCUCCUUGGUGUGCUUAUGGUUCUCAGGAUGUGGCUGACAACAGACAACAACAGCCCUUCCACAUAAUUGGAUUCAAUUUCUCUAUGCUUCUGUGCCAUGUUAUUGAUGAGGCUAAGCACCUAGUGUUUUCUCUUAUAACAUUUUGAUAUGAAGUUAAUACAUCUUUGUAAGGAAGGACAAGAGAAAAUAUCUUACAUCUUUCUUCUCCUUGUGGCGGUCUAUGUCCUUCUUCAUGUCAGUGAGGAGCUGGAAGGAGAGGCUGUCUGUCACACUGUACACCAGCACGUAGCCAUCAGCCAGGGCGUGGUAGUGCUGCGGCAGGUUGCGGUGCUGGGCGUCCAGACCUGCUGUGUCAUAGAACCGCAGCUUCUCCCGUGUCCCUCGCUCCGUCUCCACAAUGCCCACAUAGGUGUCCUCCACCGUGGGGAUGUACUGCUGUGGCAGAGAAGAAUGCCUCAACCUCAUACCUUGACAAGCUUUUCUGAUUUUAACAUUUACUUUCAAUGUUUGCAGAGGAUGAACAGUUUCACUCACUACCCACUAUUCUCACUCACAUUACCAAGAACAAUAUAUGUAUCACUCACUAAUAAGUUAAUUAUCAUAUGCUAAACUUCCCAAUAAGCUUCUUUCUGUUUCCUUUCCUUUCCUUUAGUUUUUAUUUCACUUGACAUCCCAUCCAUGGACAUGUCCCAUGCACAGUUACACAACAUUUUCAUGAGGUACACUAACCCUGUCAUACCUCUGCAUUUACUCACAAGCACUGGGGUUCCUACAGAAUGCCUUGCUGAGUCACACACUUUAGACAUCUAAUUUGGUACUUCUGUUAUUUCUGUACUUGUAUUUUUAAGAUCCACUUGGAGAGUUUCUAACAAGCUAAUAUGUGAUUACUUACAAACACAACUCUAUAAUACUUAAGGAUAAGAAUGCAAGGAGUCAUUGUGAAUGGGACCAUGUCUAGUCAUCCUCACCUUUUCAGCUGUUGAGUUUGCAUAGAUGGCCUUCUCAAGUAUGGAGGUCUUGCCACACUGUCGGGCCCCCGCCACCACCACACGACUGGUGCGCCCCAUCACAUUUCUCUGGGGACGGACCGGUAUGUCAACAAAGAGUGGCAAGCAAGACAAGAAUCUGGCAGAUAUUGUCAUGACCAAAACUCUUAAGUGUAUAAGUAUACUGGCAGAUGUCUUCAUGCAUAUUGUAGCUGCAAUGAUGUAAGCCUCGGGUGAUGUCUAAAAACUAUGUCUGCUGCUCCUCAUACUUCAGCCAAACAAGAUAUGCACAUGCUGCAGGAUAAAUGACCAUAAGUAACUCUGCAUCAACACAAGUACAUGGUGGAUGUGUCUGCUGGACUGUCAGUGACCAACAGCUGGCCUAGAGUGGAGGCUCAAGCAUCUCCACUUCUCCUCCACUGGAUAUCCUUCACAGUGAUCAUAGAGAACCAAAUCUUGUUCAUUACUGGAAUCAACACCAAUCACAAAGUUACUGUAGAUGUAGUGGUACCUCUACAUUGCAUUAGCAAUCACCAUGGAUUACUGCAAACAAUUAAAUGACAUCAAAUUAAAUGCAGGAGUCAUUAACUAUCUCACCAACAGUCUGCAUUCUUUCAAAGUGCAUGUCAUAACAAUGCUGGCUGUGGCUGACCCAUUAAUACACAUUCAGGAAGCAGAAUGAACUGCCUUGAGAAACAUGAUUAGGGUUAAAUACCUACACACAACAAAAAAUAUGCAGUAAAAAUAAGUUUUGGAGUGUUGAAGAACAUUCAGGCUGAGGUUGACUCUUUUAAACAUCAUCUAACAUUUGUUUAAAAAGAAAAAAAAAAUUGUAAUAAUAAAUAAAUAAAAAAAUCUGGUCAA